rnacentral:SRP_RNA from 1 species
GGUGGCGGCCCUUGCGACUGUGAAUCGAGAACCUGGUCAGGUCUUAAUUGAAGCAGCCAUAAUCGGUGUAGCUUUGUGUGAGGGUCGCCUCCACC